rnacentral:lncRNA from 12 species
UACACUAUAGGGACUACAAAAUAUAAUUGUCAAGGGUGAGGGAGGGGGUCAGAAGUGAGAAACUGAGAUGGAUGCACACACUUGGAGCAAAAUUAAGCCUGUUAUCGGUAGAGCCCAAAAACACAAACAUUUCACUGGAGCCAUUUAGGUUAGAGAAGACUCUCCACUUAGCGUCUCCCUGAGGCCUCCUUUUGUUAGUUUGCUUGUCUAGCUUCUCCCGAAUCCUUGUGCUUGUGUACGGAUUUUUAAUCACUUCAUUUAACUUGAGUGCAUUUCUGUUCCUUUAAGCCAAGAUAUCUGACUGAAGGAAAGCUUUCAGCGAAGGCUUCACAUUCUACAAUGUGUCCACCGUCCAGGUGCUUCACAAAGAGGCCAACACUGCCUGUCAAGUAUGAAAGACAUCGCUAUUCAGCAACUCAGCAAAAGAACAGAGAUGCUACCUCAGCCCUGCUGUCUGGUCUUUGGACGUGAGUGUACAUGGAGCUGGUCCUAAGAAAGCCCACACUUGUGUUGCACAGCGCAAUUCACACAGCUCACUCCCAGGACUCCACUUCCUCAUACCAACCUUUCUAAGGAGAGGAAAGGAAUCAAGCCCAUUCUGCAGAGGAGGACCAGUGAAGUUCAAGAAAAGUGUGAUGUCAAGUCAGAAGGAGAGCACAGAUUUCCUGAACUUUGCUCUAGCUGAACAUCUGAGGGGGAAAACAAAACACCCACCCCUCCAGGAGAGUGGCCUUUUGGGAAUUCCACAGCAAGUGUCUGGUAAGUGUUGUUUAAUUGGAUGCAUUAAUGUUUGUAGAGAGCGAGUCUAGACCUUUAGAGUUAAUCUAGUCUCUUCUCAACAGCCACAUUAGCCUUUAGGCUAAUUACGGAAAGAAAGACAAAAAGACAGAGACCUUGGAUCUUACAAUGGAGCUGGGCUUUUCUUGGGGCAGUAAAAUACUGUAUUUUAUUUUACUUUUUAAAUCAUUGAUUUUUUUUUUUUUUGGCAUAUAGUUCCACGAAUUUUAACAUUCGUGUAACCACCUUCAGGAGACAGAUCCAUCACACCUAAAAGCUCCUGAAUACUGGCCCUUUGAAAUGAUUUUCAAAAUAGUUAUCCUGGUGUACACAUAAAUUGAAAGCCACCAAGAUAUUUGUAAAAUGAAAUACACAUUUUGUUUGUAAGACAAAACUCGUGUGUGCUUUAGAGGAUUUGAUUUCCUUCCACUUUGGAGGAUACAAAAAUUAUUGAGAAAGAAUCCACACAGGUCCCUCAAUAAUUUUUAAAAGCAAAAUGAUGGCUUGACUUUGCAGGCUGUAACAGGAGACAUCAGAGCAGUAUGGGCAGUGGUGGGACCAUGCGAGAGGAAAGUAGCCUCUCAGGAAGGUAGGCGUCCCGGCAUUCCCC